CUUCAGUGCAGUUCAGGUGAACCACCCUGGUUCCCUUAAUACCUGGAAAGAAAAAAAAAAAAAAAAGUUAAUCUCUACCCUCAUGUGCUGUAUAUCAAGCACUCAACAUUUAUAACCCUGCAGCUGAUUGCUUAGCAACUGUCUUUGGGAGGAAGAACUCACCUGAUGUGCCAUCGGGAGCUCUUGUGUUGCGGGGAAGAGGCCGGAUGAAAUGAGGUCAGGCAGUGUAAGCUUACCCUGUGCUCAGUGGCGCUCGCUCCACUCUGUAAUGAAAUUAAUCAAGGUCAUUAAUUUGAUCCUUUUUUAUUGUUAUAAUUUGAGACUGUAAUUUGAGGUGGCUCAAAGAGGCACAGGCAUAUCUGUAAUUAUACCUUUAUAAUUACAUUUAUAUUUUAAGGUAAACAUUUUCACGUAUAGCUGUAAAUAGACUGUGCAUGUUAGAGAACAAACAUCAUCACGGCAGCAAACAUGGACUGUAAAUGGGAUGGGGGGAUAUUGGAACCUGCCAAUGGUGUGCUGUUUAAUUUGGUUUUAGGUGUUUCAUGUAUCUGAACAUCUUAAUGUUAAGACUGAGCUUAAACCCCUAGACAGGCCCAAAACCAAAGACUAAUUGAAAGAGAUACAGAAGAAUUGCUGCUUAGUCGCACUGACCUUUAAAAAUUACAGAGCCAAGGCACGGAGAUUGUCCUCAUCUGACAAUGCUUGAGGAGUUCAUGGUGGCUGAAGAAGCACGUGCCAGAGUCACCUCCAGACUGAUGGCUGUGACAGUGACCAGCGAGAGACCUGCUGCCAAUCCUGCAGGCGAUGGCCAGGAAAAAUUGCAUUGCUUGUUCUGUGUUUACAUCUCACUGGGUGAGACCACGGUGGGGGUAUGAGAGCACCUUUUGUCUGCACAGCCAAUUUGGCUGCCUCUGUUUCCCCCAGGCUCUGCUCACUGGCUGUCUCUGUGGCAUGCAUAUGAGCUCCCUCCUGUCUCUGCUCCAGAGCAAACCAACUGGUUUCUCCCAAGGAGAAACCUCAACACAACUGACAGGACUUUUUUUCAGGGUGGCACAGAAGAGCCUGGAAUGAACUGGACCAGACUCUACCCUGGAUAGUCCUCCAGCCAUCCCAGGAGACCUCAUGCCCACUGUCCUCCAUGCUGUGCUGUAGAACCCAAAAUGCCUUCAGAUCCUGCUGAAAAACAUCAUGCUGGCAGGCUGCCACCCAGUCCUUUCACCACUUAGAGAAUUUCAAACUUGAAAAUAGUUCCCAAUGCAACAAUUACUGACCUGGGUUCUGUGGGGCUCUGCAGGCAGCUCAGAGGAGACCCAGGCCAAGUGCUGCACAGCAUGAAGGUAACCACUGCCCUUCAGAGAGCGCUGGUCCUUAGUGGUGUGGACACAAGCCAGCCCAUAGCAAAGAGCAAUGGUUAAUGGUGCCUCCCAGGCAUUUUCCACAACGGCGGCAGCAUAUGCGCAGCCUUUGCCAAGUAGCCAACACUCAGCAUUUCCUUUCUUCUCCCUAAGACUAUUUCUGGACCUUACAAACUACUUCUUCCCUGUGGCUGAAUGCUUUGGCAGCAAAGUGGUGAGGACUCCCUGGGGUGACACACAAAUGGGUGACACACUAGUGUGUGAUGCAAUAGGUCUGUGAGAUCUCCAGAAGCAGGAUGAGGACACCAAGUGUGGGGAGCCCAGAAUGAGGGAAUCCCUGAGCCUGUGAAGGAAUAAGAAAAAUAGAGAUACUUCUGGGAGAAAGCCCAGAUAUUUAUACCAACCCUUCUCCAUUUUGGAAGGAAUCUCCUGAAGCAUGCAAGAAAUCUGGCAAUUUGCAUUAAAUAGUUGAAAAGAAAAAGUUGAGAUCUUUUUAGUGUGGUAAAAACUGAAUUCAUAGAUUAAUAAGAAAAGGGGAAUGAAAGGGUCCUGAGUUCUUUACUAAAUAAUAAUUUUGGUAUAGCUACCACCAAUACCUUGCAUAUCUGCCCUUUUCAGCAAACCAGUGGCAAAACUGGGAGCUUAACUCUUAAGGGCAUUGCCCCUGGUUGUCUGGCUUCUCUCUCAGCAAAUGAACAUUUUCCAUUUCUCAUGUCUAUUUACCUUAUAGUACAUAUAUGAUGUUUGUAACCAGACAUCUUUCUAUACUUGGUUUGUUCCCUUCUCCAUUUAAUAUACCUGAAAAGAAUAAUGAAGCCAAUCACCCAUGUCCAACAGCAAAAGCAUUUAUAGAAAACAUUCCAGCACACCUCUGCAGAAUGUGAACAUAGAUUUGUAAAAGAUGAAUGACAAAGGACCUGGCAGGGAUUGCAUGAAUAAGCCAUACAGAACCUCAAGACUCAGCUGUCAGGUCAGUGUGCUUUAUUUUAGCUUGGCACAAUUUUUAGAAAUGAUGUGGUAUUUUUGCAACUUUCAUUUCCCAGGUUUUCUGGAAUUGUUGAGAUGUCAAAACCACUGCUAUGACAAUGCUUGCUCCCCUCCAGAAAAAAAAAAAAACUCAAAACAUUAGCUUCUUGAGGUUUUUCAAUUUGAGUACCCAAACCCAAUGAUCCUUCCUGAAAAUGUUGGCUGUGGAAACGAUAUCAGUGCUAGGAGAGAGCCAUAAAACACCGUGCUCUUCAUAUAUUAUAUGUGAUGAAAGAAGGUGACAUCUCCAGGGAAAUCUUGCUUGAGGUGUGGGGAUGGGAUGUUAAUGGUCUGGGGAAGACAGAAAGUCUACAAGUGUAAUGAUCAUGUAAUGUCCCCAUGUGAGUAUAAACAUCCAGAUAGCUUUUUUUCCCUUUCCUAUUCCACAAAAAAAAAAAAAAAAGCACUUGAGAUGUAUAUAAACAAGGUACUUAGCUCUUCCCUACUCAAUACAUCUUGCUUGUUUUAAAGAUGGUGGGUUUUUGUUUUCAUUAUUAUUUUUCUGUUCUGCAAUCUGCAUCCUUUUUAUCUCACACAUUGGUACAACAGAUGAGCUCUCCUUUACAUCUGACAGUUUCAUUUCAGAGAAAAAUGGAAAAAUCCCUGCAGAAUCAGCAUUUUACAAACUUUUAAUCAAAUAGAAGAGAGAAGGAUGGAUGCAGACUGCAGGACUAAACCCUGAGAAGCCAGUGUGUGGGUGCCAGGAACACGCUGGAGGCCUGCCUGAGGAAAAAGGAUCUUCCCUGUCCAUGGGAACCAAAGUUGCAAGGGAUGAGGACAACUGGUUCUCAAGAGAAGCCCAUGCUCGUGGAUCCCAGCUUGCACCAUCUUGUCACAGUUUCAGUCUGGCUCCAGUUUGUUCUUUGUAACAGGAAAGUGAGCAGCUCUGAUGAGGUGGCCACUGUUAUAACCCAGCAGAGAACCAUAUGAAGACGUUUUCAUGGGCUGUCCAGGUUGCAGGCUUUGAAGUCCUGUUUGCUGAAGUCACUUGGGUAACCAAAGUCUCAGGGAAUUUCAGGGAGAUGGAAGCUCCUGGAUUCCUCUUCAUCUAAAGAUUCCUGAAUACUGCGUCUGGGGUCAAAUGGUUUUGAGUGCCAGUGUGCCAGAAACACCUGUCAGUGUCCUGUGAGGAUGACCAGGAAGGGGUAUCCCACACAAGGCUGCAGCUGAACAAGAACCAAGGUUCAGCUCAGGUGAAAUUAUGCUCAAGGCAGUAGUUUGCACCUGGUGCUGCUGCCUUGGGUUGAAGGCUUACCAGAGUGUUUUCUCCCCUAAGUGAUGUGCUCUGCAGCAGUGUGGCUGUCACCCAGCCUUGAAAAGAUGAGCGAUGCCCCAGAUCUCGCUGGUGGAGGGUAAGGUGAUCCGUCUGUUAUCUGUGUACACCUGCAGCCCUUCAGAAGCAGAGGAUUAGCAAAUAGGUUGUUGCAGUCAUACUUAAAUCUUGCAGACCCAAUUAUCUGUCUGUGCAAGCCCUACAGAUAUGGCACAGGAGCACAGCAAGCCCAUGGCCUCCCAGGAACCUUCCUGUACAGGAGACAUCCAAGAGAUCAUCAGCAGGUCCCUAUCAGGGCUGAUUAACAACCAUUUCACAGCAGAGGAAUUAUCUCAGCUGUAACUCAAGGCAUCAAGGACCAUCAACCCUGUCCUUAGAGCUCUUGGGGUUUCAUACAACAUUUCUGCUUCAAAAGAAAAGAACAGAAAACUCCAAAACUGAAAGACAUAAAGAAACAAGAUCCUACUGCAGAAGGCACAGAUAGCAUUCCAAAACAGAAAAAACUCUUUCUAGAACCAGAAGAUUGUCUGGAGAUUGGUGGGCCAGAGCUGUGUGCUGCUUCUUGAAGGACACUGACCCAAACAUCAGAGGACUCAAGAAGCACUAAGGGCUCCUAGAAAGGGUGUUUUUGAUUCAAAAUGUUCUGGGUCAGAAUCAUGAAGUCCUGUACAGCUGAAGACUAUGCAGUGAUCUCAAAGACCCUACACUGGAGCAGUGCAGGAGAGAAGAAGCAGCGACUAAACGGGACUGGAAGGAAAAACGAGCUGACAGCACGUUCAGAAUUCCUUUUAGCCUAUGGUGGAGUUAUGAGCAUCACCAAUGGAGCCUUUCACAAGAACAGGAGCUGGUUCCCAGCUUCCCAGGGGAUUCCAUUGGGAGCCACGGCCCAACAGCACCACCUGCCUCAGGCAAGGACCUGCCUCCUGGUACGAACAAGGUUUGCAUGGCAUUCUCAGCAUCCCUUUCAAAUCCUCUGGUCUGAGGAACGCAUUGCUCUCCCAUCCCUGUCCUGGCUCAACAACCAGAAUUUGUUUUUCCCAGUUGAAGCGGGGAGCAUCCCACCGCAUGAGCCCAAAGAAACACUUUUUAUAUAUCUGUUUUCCACUGAAACAGCAUCAUCUUCCUGAUGGCGUGGGGUCAGUUAAAGUUCUCAAGCUGUGCUGCGGAGGUUUUCUCCACAAAAGCGGGGGUGUUAACCAUGGUGGCAUGGCACAGCUCCAGCUCCGCUCGCUCCACUCGGCUCUCCCGCUGCUCUGGCAGCCGGGGCAGCGCACCCCGCUCUGUUUAAACAGCUGCCUCGUUCCAUCGGGGAGGUGGCUGCCCUUCAGUCCUGGGAGAAGAGCUCAUCUUCUGGGUAGUUUGCAUAACAAUUACCAUUUGUCAGCUGAGAUCUGCCUGGUGAAAGAUCACUGUUUACAAGUAGGCGGUGAGUCUUUGGAGGCUGCAAUACUUCUUGAGCCGCAAAAAACUAAGCUGAGAGUGGGGAGCCUGAAGGUGGGCUGAUUUCACACGGCAGGUUUAAGGAAGAGUUCCUUUUGCAUUCAGCUCAGAGGUAGAAAAGCGGAGCUGCCGUGAAAGGGGGGAUUCUUUAGCUCUUACAGAUUUCAUUCAGUUGUUCCAAUGAAAUAAAUACAUCCGCCUUAAACAAUUGAAAGAGGUAUUUACUGCCUGUGGUUUAACAACUGUACUAAGUCAAAGGGACCAGUCAACUAGAGCCUUAUAAUUCUUUUCUAAAGAGAGGAUGAGAGAAAAGAAUGAGACGACAAUGCAGUAUUUAUAAUAAAGAUGAAAUGAGUGGAACUCAAUGGCGCCAGCAGCCCUGGAGCUCCUGCUGCUUGGGCUAAUGCAUUUUGCAUUAGCACGUCUGGAUAUCUGGCACUGGAAGGUCCUGCAAAUGCUUUUACAAAAUAGCAGCAUUCUUACAGCAGCAGCAUUUCUUCCAAGCACCACCACUGACGGAUGCAGCUGGAUGGGCAGCCCCUGCAGCUGAGUGAACAGCAGGAAGUUUUCAGGUGACUGAGACCUGUUUUCCACUUACCUUCCUGCAGCCAGGUUGCUUUUUUACCUGCUCAUUCACACUGAUGAGUGCUUACACCGAGACUCCCUGAUGGAGCACUUGCUUGAGCACGAGUGGGUGUAAGGACAUCUGUCCCUGCCUGGGAGCUGGGGACUCACAAAGGCAGGAUCCCUGACUUCUCAAGUUAUACUGAGGGGCUACUGGACACAUAGACAUCAUGUUGAACAUACAAAAUUACAUCUGUAAGUAGGUUUGCUCUGCAUAGGCUAAAUAAAUAACAUCUGUGUUACAAGAACCCCCAUGUGAUCUCUAUUCCAUACUACUCCAUUACUCCAUCAGCUAAUCUUGUAUUUGCCUUGGAAGCAAUACAAAAUCCUCAAAGGAAUUAAUAGCCAGCAACUGCAGAUCACCCGAGCAAUUUAUUUUUCAUUCUUUCCCCCAACAGACUGGAGAGAUACGUGUCUCUCUUCUUCCUGAAACCUGGAUUUGAAAAGCUCUGUGUUGCCUCAUCUUCUCAUAGCCUUGCUGAACAACAGCAUUAGCAGUAAUGAUGAGGAAAGCACAGCAGCACCUCAGGACAAACUCUGGGACAAGUGGAAAGACCACCUGGGUGUAAUGUUGUAAGAAUCAGAUAGCAAAUGGUACCUUCUUUUUAUAACUGUUAUGUUAGAAAGGAUAAAUUCAGCACUUCAGGGUUUUCUCUAGGUUUUUGACAUAUACAAAUGAUUUAUUGUUCUAAGAAAUAAGUGA